GCCGCCGUAGCUCAGUGGUGGAGCGAUCGCCUCGUAAGCGAUAGGUCGUGGGUUCGACCCCCACCGGCGGCUCCA
rnacentral:tRNA from 2 species